rnacentral:piRNA from 1 species
UNGCCUCUGCACUUUCAGGAUAUUAUCAGC